rnacentral:rRNA from 1 species
GGCUCCUUGUUAAUAGAUAAAUAAGGAGUCGGACCUGCCCAGUGAAAUUAUUUCAACGGCCGCGGUACUCUGACCGUGCAAAGGUAGCAUAAUCAUUUGCCUUAUAAUUGAAGGCUGGUAUGAAUGGUUUGACAAGAAUAUAGCUGUCUCUUUAUAAUUUAAUAGAACUUUAUUUUGGGGUGAAGAAGCCCCAAUUAAAUUAAAAGACAAGAAGACCCUAUCGAGCUUUAAAAAAAUUAAUGGAAUAUGCAAUAUUAAUACAAAGAUAAAAAAUUAGCUAUUAAAAAUUUUGGUUGGGGCGACUAAGGAACAAAAAUAGCUUCCUUUAUAAAUGUUAUAACAUACAAGUAUUGAUCCAAAAUUUUUGAUUAAAGGAAUUAGUUACCGUAGGGAUAACAGCAUUAUCCUCUUUGAGAGUUCUUAUCGAAAAGGGGGUUUGUGACCUCGAUGUUGGACCAGAAUAUCCUAAAGAUGCAGAAGUCUUUAAGGGUUGGUCUGUUCGACCAUUAAAAUUCU